UACGAAGGGGGCUAGCGUUGCUCGGAAUUACUGGGCGUAAAGCGCACGUAGGCGGUCUUUUAAGUCGGGGGUGAAAUCCUGGAGCUCAACUCCAGAACUGCCUUCGAUACUGGAAGACUUGAGUCCGGGAGAGGUGAGUGGAACUGCGAGUGUAGAGGUGAAAUUCGUAGAUAUUCGCAAGAACACCAGUGGCGAAGGCGGCUCACUGGCCCGGUACUGACGCUGAGGUGCGAAAGCGUGGGAGCAACAGGGAUUAAGAUACCUGGUAGUCCCAGACCAAGAUCGUCAUUCGCUACCCGUCGAAU
rnacentral:rRNA from 1 species